AGAUGGUGUAUGGGAAUUGCUAAGUCAUGGCCUGAGCCAAUAAUUGAGCACCUGGUCAAGGGACACAGCCCGCCCUGGGAGCACAGGUGAAAGCAAUUCAUCUGCGUGACUAGAAGAGGUAGAACCAGGUUCCAGCCCUCUCUAAGCCUCAUUUGAGGGCUGGCUGCCCCAAGGAAGGGGCCUCUACCUGGAGACUCUUCCUUUUAGAGUAUUUGUCAAGCCCUUAUCGUUUGGGAUGGGUGGAAGGCUCUUAUUGCUUCACCUGUGCAGCUGCCACCAAAGGACUGGAGCGUGAGCAGUGCCCAGGAUCUCAGGAGACCCCAGUCCAUCUGAGUGGUGACCAAGGCAAUCACUUGGCAAGGGCAGAGGUCACAGCCACAUUGGCUAUCACAGCCUCUUCAGCUGCAUGCAAGCUUUCAAUACAUCCCACCUGGAGCUUGGUGGCUCUCACUCCCAGUACUGAAGCCUUAACGAUAACUACGGCAAGUGGAGACAUACUGGAGAGAUUCUGGGAAAAUAUAUGGCAGUUCCUUUAGAAUAGUUGGAGUUGCAGAUAAUAGAAGUGUCCCUCAAAUCCUCUCUUGUCAAUAAGAGUGAAAGGACAGGCACAUCACUGCUGACUGCAAUUAUUCACAGACUUUCACCUCUCCUCCACAUGUCAAGUACUAUGAAGAAUUCCUCUGAAGUUAAUGGUCCUCUUCUCUUUUAUAAUAUUAAGCAUUAAAGCAGAGCUAGAGCUAACAUAACAUAAUCUUCAAGCAGAUUAUUUUCUCCAGAUCCUUAGCAUUUCCCAAAGUUAUAUCAAGCAUUUUUAAUCCACGAAGAAUAAUUGCAGUAACUGAUACUGACAGAAAAUAUUGAGAGCAAGUUAUUUUGUGGCACUGAUUACAUCUAUAAUCAACAAGCACAUGUUCCCAAAGGUUUCAGGCAUUGUCAUGUUAUGGUUAACUGAUGGCACACUCACACAAUUCUAAACUUCAUAAGUACCAGAACUGAAUCUUUGUGGUCUUCCUCUGUACCACUUCCAUCACCUCUGCAUCUUUCUUCUGCUGAGGGUCCCAGAACUGAACAUAGUACUGCAGGUGGGGUCUCACAAGGGAAGAACGGGGGGGAAAAGACCUUGGUCCAGCCUGACCUUGAAUGUUUCCAAGAACCUGAAAAAACAGCAUCUCUCUUAAAUAUUCUCAAAUACUGAAACUUUAAAGGAAUACAGAUACUUUUAACUCUAUUUCUGUUAAUUCCACUGAUUUUUGUGUUCUUGUAACUGUUGUUUAAAUUGUAUUUAAUAUUGUUGGGUCCUGAACUACCUGUGGAGUUGUUUGCUUUCAUCUGGAUGAGGCUCUGGGCAGCCUCAUCUGGUGAUUGGUGACCCUGCACAUAAGAGGGGGGUUGGAACUAGAUGAUCGUUGUGGUCCUUUUCAACCCAGGCUAUUCUGUGAUCUGUAGAUCUUAACAUAAAAGAAAAAAAAAAAAAAGAAAUACAGCUGUUACUGGAUUUAGUUUAACUGAUCGUGAAUGUGUAUUGGCACAGUGCAAGGUUCAUUGACUAUUCAGACUUUUUCCUGAAACAGAAAAUUGGAUUUUUUUUCUCCCUUAGGCUAGGAGUUUUAUUGUGCAUGCUGGUGAAAAAAGUGUAACUGAUGUUCAGUGGUUAUGGUGUAUGUGCUCACAGGGCCUCUUCUUUCAAAGGGGAAAAAAAAAAAAGCAUCAUUAAUUGGUUAAUCUUGUAUAAAUGACCAAGCUGUACUAUUUCUGUAGUUGCCUAAACAGGAGCUAAUGACAAGGCAUUUCAGUAUUUCUGAAGGAAUCAAUAGUUUUAAAGUAGAAAUCGUGUUUUUCUGCCAAAAUUAAUUAUUCUGCUGCUCUACAGGUCAGGAUGUCAUCUGCAGUGCAGACUGUGAAAGAAACGAUCUUUUGGUGCAUUUGUUGAGUUACAGAGUUGGUCUAGAGCAAAUAUUAAGCAGACAAGUGAUCAAGAGGUUAAAAAGUAUAGAGAAGAAUACAGGGCAACAACUGUCCAACUUAAGAGAGAGACAGCAGAGCUAAAAAAGAGGCAAAAAGUGUUUGCUAUCAUAAGAAUAAUGAAACAAAAAUACAUCAAAUCCCAAGUGGUGUUUUUUCUGUAACUAGCCCACUAAAAAAGGGAUAAGGGUAAUGGAAACAGCUCACGUCCAGUGCUGUCCUCUAUCUCAUGUUGAACAAACCCCCCAGGCCUUCUCCACUCCUGGAUCUCACUUCUGCCCUGCUGGCCAGCACAAUAAUUCUGCUACCAACACCUGAGCAGCCCCCAGCAGUGUUGGUUACAAGAAUGUGGUGCCCAUCCUGGAUGGCAGCUUCUGCUCCAUGCUGUGAUUCUAUGUCCCUUAGUUACAGCCUGGAGUUAAAUCCCCCUGGCUUCAUAAUGGAGUUACCAUGGAAUAAAGGAAAGAGGACCCAAAACUGGGACUGCAUUGCACAGUAUGUGAAGGUUUUGUGGCUGAACUCUGCGUACUAUUUUCCCACGAACUACUGUUAAAAUAAAAGGUCUAAUGUAUCUAACUGCAGUGAUUUCCAGAGUCAGUGCCUACUCUAACUGGGAUUCUAAAUGCAUUCUUCUAUUUUAAAGUACUCUUCAAACUUCCUGUAAAUAAGAGUUUCCCUUGUCUCUAGGCAUGAUUUCCCAAGGUUUCACAGCUCUAAUUAUUAUGAACAAUAUCUCUGUGGUCUCCUGCUAAAUCUCUCAAAAAUAUAACACACAAAAAAAAAUCUAUUUUGAAAGUUUCUUUGAACUUCAUAAGUCAAUGAUUCCUUAUAUAACUGCAAUAAAAACCUCUGGGAAAGAACCUAUUAUGAGCACAGUGUCAGCAAUUUUAGCUUAUUGCAGAUGGCUUGCUCCCCUUUCCACAUAACUAUUUAAUGAAUUUAAACUAAGGAUUGUAUAAUUUCAUAGCCAAUAGCAGCCAGGAGUUUUUACUGGGAGGUUUUUAAGCCGAGAUUACGGAUCUAGUUAGUAAAGGAUUUUAAUGAAGAAAAUAAUUCCUAAAUGCAAUUGGCUUCCACCACAUCAGCACCAGAGCACAUCCACCAGAUGCUGCUGGGAAUCUCCAGCACCUCAGCACAUAGUGGAUGCUGACUGGUGCUAUCCAACAACUGGAUGUUUUUUUAUUGGUGUUUUUAAAAUUUUUUUAUCCAUUUUGCAGCCAGUUAUCUUUACCCUUCAAGACAGCUCCUGCAGGCAGGGCUCUCUGUCCUCCCUUCUGCCCUUCACUCAGCUCUGAUACAACUGUUAGCGCUCCCCCGUAGGACAGCAGUUGGCAAUAAAACUAUUUAUAUCCCUAUGCUGUGCCCAUUCGCUGGUCAAAGUGUAAUUGCACUAAGAACUGUAAACAGAAUAAAAAUAAAACAAAGCAGCACUCUGUCUUCCUCUCUUUUUCCCACUCCACGUUACAGCAAUCCCAUUUGUAGGAUAAUAACGAAAAAGAGCCAACAAAAGAACCAAAGUGAGGAUAGAGUACAAAAAUACACAGUUUUUUACUCACAUUACAAUACCACUGUGGGCUUUAGUAUCAGUAAGAAGAGAAAAAGGUAUUUUUAUAGUGUGGAUUGCAACCCUCUCCCUUUCAAAACAGUUUUGAAAACCAACAACGGCACCAAAAGAAAUAGAAGGGUUGAAGUUUUGAUGUAACGUUUCAGCUUUCCUUUUUCGGCAUGACUUUUUAACUGGGAUGGUUUCUGUAUAAAAUUUCUGUACAAAUUGUUAAAGAUUUCAUAUUUGAUGCAAAGCAUAAAUUUACUGUUUGGUAUCAAUGCUGGAAAUCUCGCAUGCUUCUGGUGACCUUAUGUUUCUUUGAAUUAUUUUUUUUUUUUUACAGUUUUGACAUUCAUGGACAUGAAGGAUGGAAACAGGAUUGUAGAAUUGCUCAGACCUUGUAGAUCAUCAAGUCCAACCACAAACAUUUUUAGAGGACGAUUUGGUUUGUAUCCUACGGUGACAUUACACUGAAUAAAGAACCUUUUGCUCAAGCAAAGUGAUUAACACCAGAUUCACCUACUAUCUACUAGCACAUCGUCUUCCCAUAACAGCUAUGCUACGGGUCAAAAAUACUGUGACGUUUGUAGCAUCAGUGUUGGUACUUUCCUUUCCAAAUAAUACCAGAAAGCAAUUAAAGGGUACGUUCUCCAAUGGGCAUGGAGAGAACAGAUUUAACAAACUAUGGUGUUUUUCAUUUGGCUAGAAUCUCAACUAAAAUCCUGAGCACCGCUGCACUGGAUGGGCUCUUGAAGCAGCAGGAGACUCCACACCAUCCCCAUACGCUCCUGGUUUCAGGAAAUUCCCUGCAAUCAGGGAGGGAUUUCACGGGGACAAAGGAACGAGUCAUGCCAGAUUCAAGCACCUAUGGCUGGAAGUCAGAAAAGGAGAUUAAAGCAGAGUAGUUGCUACACACCAGCUGCUCAGUGGUCUGCAAAGAACUGCUCCUUUGAGCAGCACGGCUACUUGCCUGUGUCCGAUGGCUUUCUGGAUACUGGAACAUGUUGUGCUCACAGUAUGAAAAGGAAAAAAUUAUCUGUAUUAGUCAUAGGUAGCUGAGUGCCAUCUGUUACCCAGGCUGAAAGUGAACAUUCACCUCAAACUCUUUCAUGAUUACUGUUUGCCUUCUGGAGGAGGUGCUACUGGGGUAAAGACAUGCUACGGAAAUAGGGAGUUUUGUCAUCUCCUUUUGAAGAAAAUACUGUUGAAAGGCUACUUUUCCUGAAGUCAUCCAAGGAAGAAAGGUGUUUUAUUGGGACUGGUCUGUUGGUGGAUGUUCACGUUGACCAGAUGAUGUUGAUGGGCACCCAAGCAAGCAGAAAUAGUGAAGUAUAUUUCCUGCUAUUUUAUCACUCAAAAUUCUGAGCUCUGAGCUAAAUUUCGGUGUGGAUAAAGAGGGAACUGGAAGAAAAGACAAUGGGAAGAUAAAAGAGGGGUUAAGCCACACACUGAGCAAAUGUGGGGCUCUGAUUCAAAGGCUUUUUCAGCCAAAGAAGGUUUAGAAGUUUAUCCACGUAAAAUCUCCAAGUGUCUACAGCCACUGAAUCCCAUCCUUAUCAGGUCCAUUGCCAUAGAUGCCUACUUGGUCACUGUGCUUUCAGAAAGCGUGCAAAGCUGCCUGCAUCUUCUGCAAUGGCAGUGAUUGGAAAGGAAGUUGCUACAGAAGCAGAGAAGUUGGUCCAUAUGGCAAGUGACAGCCCGUGCUUCCAGAUCAAAAAUAGCUACUGAAAUGUCAGAACUUCUGCUGGGACACAAAUUGUGAUUACUGAGGGCUAUUUGUAGAGAAAGUUGAACUGUCAAUGGGAAGGAGAAUCCGUACUGGUAUCAGCAGUGACUCAAUGAAUGAAGAGCCUAUUGCUGCAAAGUAAUCUGUCUGCAAAAAAACUACUGAUUCUGCCAGAGGAGAACGCUCAGUGGGAAGCUGAGGUCACAUCAAUACAUCUUUCUAUCACUUUAGAAAUUUUAUUAUGAAGACUAAAGCAUUCACAAAGGGGGGUAGCUAACAUAGAAAUACUGCUCUGCACCUCAUCUUCAUCUCUGUGGUUUUCAAGACUCAAAAACACAAGGCUACAGCUGACCCAACCUAGUGAUGGCUCAAGGCAUGGUGAGUGGCAUGCAGUAGACGACCAUGGUCAUCAUUUCAACCAGCGUUUCUGCCGCACGGAACAGGAUUUAGCAAGAUUAAUGAAAGUGAACAGUGGAUUACCAGGAGGAGCGGCAGAGAGGUGCUGUCUAGCAAGAGCAAGGGAAUAACCACUAAUGUCUCAGCUCUGCUGCUAUAAGAUCUUCAGGUAGAUGGCUUUAACGAAAGGAGAAGAAGCCAAAGUUAAAAUAUUCAGUUUAUUGGGAAUUUCAGAGAGAGUCCAUCACUCUGUAUCUCUACUUCUCCAGUAUAUGGCCCUGGUAAUGUCAGACAUGGAAAGAGGAGGACUGAACUUCAUAUGGUACAUUUCUGACCUGUCUUCACUGAGAAGCAAGAAGUAAUUUCCACUGUGACGCAGCAGUUUUCAAAAAGAACUUUGAAAUUUUUGAAGUCAAGCUGCAGUCAAGCUGCACAUAUGGACCCUUCCUAAAAAUACCCGACGGAGACCUACUUACAAAACUGGUGACUUUGUUGAUAUUAUGGAGAAACAGUACUGUGUAACUAGAGAAAUCCUAAAAUAGAGAAUUAGAAUCUUUACCAUCAACUUCAAAGUUGACCCAAAGGCACAAGGAAGGAAAGCAAAACAAAAAAGUUAACACAGUCUAAGGAUUACCUCUUUUCUGCUGGAAACAGAAAGGAAACCUGCUGGAAACCUGCUCUUACUCAUCAGAUCAAAGCUGCUAUAUAUGGUUCUUUUACUGUAGCAGACUACAGAACGAUGAGCUUUUGGCUGAGUAGGGAGAUGGAUAACUUUGUACAGCUCUCAGACUGUUCUGUCCCAAGUUAUUUGUGCAAUCCAUCUGCAGCUUGGUUCUUCCUUUCCUUACCUGCACGUUAUAGACAGCAUUUUACUGAUGCAUAAAAAGAGCUUAAAAGGAGUGACAAAGACAGGGCCAGUAAUAUAUUGUAAAUACACACACAAAAAAAUAAGAGACAUACUAGAAUUUGCAAAAACAUGGAAAACUUAGAGAACAGUUAGAGCAGAAUUCUCAUAUAUCUAUGUCCUGUGUUGUAUUCAUGCUGUCAUCUUUUCGCAUUAUAAAAUAUGAAGCAAUUUGCUGAUUUAUUUGGGACAUCAUCUGCUUGCUACUUAGGCAUGACAUUGUGAACAACUGCACAGCAGGAGAAAAGUAGAACCAUAAAUGAACUGCAGCAGGUAGGCUGCAUCCAGGCAUCACAACACCAGCAGCAAUAGGAACUUACUGAGCGAAAUACUUAGCAAACAAUGUAAGACAUAAUUUUUAGUUACCAAGAAAGUAAAAUUAAGUCACUCUGAAAUUACAAACCCUG
rnacentral:lncRNA from 1 species